rnacentral:rRNA from 1 species
UACGAAGGGGGCUAGCGUUGCUCGGAAUCACUGGGCGUAAAGGGUGCGUAGGCGGGUUUUUAAGUCAGGGGUGAAAUCCUGGAGCUCAACUCCAGAACUGCCUUUGACACUGAAGAUCUUGAGUCCGGGAGAGGUGAGUGGUACUGCGAGUGUAGAGGUGAAAUUCGUAGAUAUUCGCAAGAACACCAGUGGCGAAGGCGGCUCACUGGCCCGGUACUGACGCUGAGGCACGAAAGCGUGGGGAGCAAACAGG